CUGAGUGAAAGUUUUUUAGAGCUGAAGUAAUUUUAGUAACAAUCACAACAUAAGCAGCAGCAAGCAUAACAAAUGAACAAAAACUUUUUAAAAUGUUCUGACGAGAGCUUACAAUAAAAAAUUCAAAAACUAAAAGCAGCAAAGAAGGCUACCAUACGGAACUAAAAUGAGGAAACUAUAAUUUACUCUAUAAAAAACAGCAAAGAGCUACGCAGAACCUCAAAGUGCACUCCUUUCAACAGCUAAAUUCGAGACUGAUUUAAAGUGUAUAUAUAUAUAUUUGAUAUAUAUAUAUAUAUGUGGUCCGUUGCCAAUCAAAUUUGUGCUACUUGCCUGCAUCAAGUGUUUUGUUUACUCAAGCAACCAAGUGUCGUUUAGCCGGCGUACCUGAGGCAGCUCGUAGCUGCUAGUAAAUUCCAUGAAACUUUAAGAGAGCUGGCCCCGAAGCACUACAACCGCCUUUGACAGGAUUAAAAUGUGCUGGCGAGCCAGACGAGUGUGCAGCAGGAGUGGGCGAGGCAACGAGUGGCCAGGCAAACACUGCAACGAAGUGAAUGCAAAUAGCUGCGCUCGACUGGCUUGUUGGGCGUAUGAGUAUUGCUUUUAUAACAGGAACGUGGUGCAACGCCUACUUCUCCUGCCUUGCAAAUAGAAAUGCAGUCAGCAGUGGACAAGCUUUUGGCUUCGCUUUAUGCAACGGUCCGUCCAGCGUGCCCCUUGGUUAAAGUUCAGAUCAGCAAACAGUAUUUAUGGCAUUAACUAACCCGCACUCAUAGCUUCGAGCUCACUCUAUAUUUCUGCCAUGUACCAAAAUCUACUAAACUCAAAUUUAAAUAUGCGCCCUUAACAUUCAAAUAUAAGCAACUAGAAUAUUAUA